GAUGGUCGAGGUGCUGCAUGGCUGUCGUCAGCUCGUGUCGUGAGAUGUUGGGUUAAGUCCCGCAACGAGCGCAACCCUUGUCCGCUGUUGCCAUCAGGUUAAGCUGGGCACUCUGCGGAGACUGCCGGUGAUAAACCGGAGGAAGGUGGGGAUGACGUCAAGUCAGCAUGGCCUUUAUGUCUGGGGCUACACACGUGCUACAAUGGCAGGUACAAACCGUCGCGAUGCCGCAAGGUGGAGCUAAUCGGAGAAAACCUGUCUCAGUUCGGAUUGUAGGCUGCAACUCGCCUGCAUGAAGUUGGAAUCGCUAGUAAUCGCGGAUCAGCACGCCGCGGUGAAUACGUUCCCGGGCCUUGUACACACCGCCCGUCACAUCACGAAAGCCGGCUGUACUAGAAGUCGCCGCGUUAACCCGCAAGGGAGACAAGCGCCUAAGGUAUGGUCGGUGAUUGGGGUGAAGUCGUAACAAGGUAAGCGUAGAUGA
rnacentral:rRNA from 1 species